UAAGCCAUAGUGUGAAGAAGUAAGUUUAUGUUAAUAUUACAUAAAUAAGGCAAUUUAAAAUAGUUUGUUGUGGGGAAAAAAAUAUUCAAAUAGCUAAAUAUGAUGUGUGAGAAUUAAAACGGCAGGAUAAUUCUCGUCAGGUGUUAAAUGUGUAUUCCCGCUGUUAGCUUAGCGUUAGCUAAGCCAUAGUGUGAAGAAGUAAGUUUAUGUGAAUAUUAAAUAAAUAAGGCAAUUUAAAAUAGUUUGUUGUGGGGCAAAAAUAAAUGGCCAUCUUCAACAUUUUCUGAGAUUUCUAAUUUGUCUUUUUCUACUUGUGCAGAUGGAGGCAUGAAAUGUGACGGGACAGCCACCGAGGACUUCAUACAGAUGUGUACUUCGGAGCAUCUCAAACAUGCACCACAAAGACGUGGAGGACACACCGCUGUCUCUCGACCUAGAAUCUUAAUGAAAGUAUAAUGAUGUUAAGGGAAGGUGUAAUGUAAAGUUGUAAUGGUGUUAAGGGAAGGUGUAGUGGAAAGGUGUGAUAGUGUUGAGGGAAGGUGUAAUGUUAAAGGUGUAAUAGUGUUGAGGGAAGGUGUAAUAGUGUUGAGGGAAGGGGUAAUGUUAAAGGUGUAAUAGUGUUGAGGGAAGGUGAAAUGUAAAGGUGUAAUAGUGUUGAGGGAAGGUAUAAUAUUGUUAAGGGAAGGUGUAAUGUAAAGGUGUAAUAGUGUUAAGGGAAGGUAUAAUAUUGUUAAGGGAAGGUGUAAUGUAAAGGUGUAAUAGUGUUAAGGGAAGGUAUAAUAGUGUUAAGGGAAGGUGUAAUGUAAAGGUGUAAUAGUGUUAAGGGAAGGUGUAAUGUAAAGGUGUAAUAGUGUUAAGGGAAGGUAUAAUAUUGUUAAGGGAAGGUGUAAUGUAAAGGUGUAAUAGUGUUAAGGGAAGGUAUAAUAUUGUUAAGGGAAGGUGUAAUGUAAAGGUGUAAUAGUGUUGAGGGAAGGUAUAAUAUUGUUAAGGGAAGGUGUAAUGUUAAAGGUGUAAUAGUGUUGAGGGAAGGUGUAAUAGUGUUGAGGGAAGGGGUAAUGUUAAAGGUGUAAUAGUGUUGAGGGAAGGUGAAAUGUAAAGGUGUAAUAGUGUUGAGGGAAGGUAUAAUAUUGUUAAGGGAAGGUGUAAUGUAAAGGUGUAAUAGUGUUAAGGGAAGGUAUAAUAUUGUUAAGGGAAGGUGUAAUGUAAAGGUGUAAUAGUGUUAAGGGAAGGUAUAAUAUUGUUAAGGGAAGGUGUAAUGUAAAGGUGUAAUAGUGUUAAGGGAAGGUAUAAUAGUGUUAAGGGAAGGUGUAAUGUAAAGGUGUAAUAGUGUUAAGGGAAGGUGUAAUGUAAAGGUGUAAUAGUGUUAAGGGAAGGUAUAAUAUUGUUGAGGGAAGGUGUAAUGUAAAGGUGUAAUAGUGUUGAUGGAAGGUAUAAUGUAAAGGUGUAAUAGUGUUGAUGGAAGGUAUAAUGUAAAGGUGUAAUAGUGUUGAGGGAAGGUGUAAUGUAAAGGUGUAAUAGUGUUGAUGGAAGGUGUAAUGUAAAGGUGUAAUAGUGUUGAGGGAAGGUGUAAUGUAAAGGUGUAAUAGUGUUGAUGGAAGGUGUAAUGUAAAGGUGUAAUAGUGUUGAGGGAAGGUGUAAUGUAAAGGUGUAAUAGUGUUGAUGGAAGGUGUAAUGUAAAGGUGUAAUAGUGUUGAUGGAAGGUGUAAUGUAAAGGUGUAAUAGUGUUGAGGGAAGGUAUAAUAUUGUUAAGGGAAGGUGAAAUGUAAAGCUGUAAUAGUUUUAAGGGAAGGUAAAUGUUUAGUGAAAUUGUUAUGGUGUGAAUCUAAGGUGUAUGUUAUGUUGAUGUAAAAUAAAGGCAUUAACCCCAAAUGAGAUUUACUCAUUAUGUUUAUUAUUAUAUUAAUGUUUCCCCAAACAGAAAGGGUCAAUUUAAAAUCAACAGUGGUAAGAUGGGGGUAAUUAAUUUAUCCCUUGCUUUUACUGGUUCUUUGCAGGUUGACAUGUUUUGGAAAAAGUGAGAGGGUUGAAAUGCAAUUUAUUUGUAAAGCAUAUUGUGUAUAACUAACGUGCAUAACUAGUUCCAGAAGGUUGUGAACCUGUUCCAGUAAUUGUUUGGCUUAGCUUUGUAUGCGUUUCC